UACGAAGGGGGCUAGCGUUGUUCGGAAUUACUGGGCGUAAAGGGCUCGUAGGCGGCCAACUAAGUCAGACGUGAAAUCCCUCGGCUUAACCGGGGAACUGCGUCUGAUACUGGAUGGCUGGAGUUUGGGAGAGGGAUGCGGAAUUCCAGGUGUAGCGGUGAAAUGCGUAGAUAUCUGGAGGAACACCGGUGGCGAAGGCGGCAUCCUGGACCAACACUGACGCUGAUGAGCGAAAGCCAGGGGAGCAAACGGG
rnacentral:rRNA from 1 species